rnacentral:rRNA from 1 species
CCUACGGGUGGCUGCAGUGAGGAAUAUUGGUCAAUGGACGCGAGUCUGAACCAGCCAAGUAGCGUGCAGGAUGACUGCCCUAUGAGUUGUAAACUUCUUUUGUACGGGGAUAAAGUGCGGCACGUGUGCCUUUUUGUAUGUAUUUUAUGAAUAAGGAUCGGCUAACUCCGUGCCAGCAGCCGCGGUAAUACGGAGGAUCCGAGCGUUAUCCGGAUUUAUUGGGUUUAAAGGGAGCGUAGAUGGGUUGUUAAGUCAGUUGUGACAGUUUGCGGCUCAACCGUAAAAUUGCAAUUGAUACUGGCAGUCUUGAGUACAGUUGAGGUAGGCGGAAUUCGUGGUGUAGCGGUGAAAUGCUUAGAUAUCACGAAGAACUCCGAUUGCGAAGGCAGCUUACUAAACUGCCACUGACAUUGAUGCUCGAAAGUGUGGGUAUCAAACAGGAUUAGAUACCCUAGUAGUC